rnacentral:siRNA from 1 species
UGAGAGGUACGACAUGACUUUUGU